rnacentral:rRNA from 1 species
GAUGAACGCUAGCUACAGGCUAAUACCGCAUGAGACCUGAGGGUGAAAGCGGGGGAUCGCAAGACCUCGCGCAAUUGGAGCGGCCGAUGCCCGAUUAGCUAGUUGGUGAGGUAAAGGCUCACCAAGGCGACGAUCGGUAGCUGGUCUGAGAGGACGACCAGCCACACUGGGACUGAGACACGGCCCAGACUCCUACGGGAGGCAGCAGUGGGGAAUUUUGGACAAUGGGGGCAACCCUGAUCCAGCCAUGCCGCGUGCAGGAUGAAGGCCUUCGGGUUGUAAACUGCUUUUGUCAGGGACGAAAAGGAUCGUGAUAAUACCAUGGUCUGCUGACGGUACCUGAAGAAUAAGCACCGGCUAACUACGUG